CUGCAACACAGGACAACAGCUGGGUCCCAGGUGCACAGGCACACACAUGCCUUUGGAGGGCAGAGUAAUUGGUGAGACCAGCAGCAUGGAAGAGUCUGAAGCAACAGCAAGGAGCCACCUGUGGGACUCCAAGAACUCCACCAGCAGAAGUCCAGUCCCAGGCCCACAUCCAGAGGCCGAGAUCAGCUCCAUACCUAGCACAUUUCUGGGAUUAAACAUGGACACUCUUGCCAGAGGAAAACUAGAGGAUCCACCAAAAAUAAAGAUGUGAGGACUCUAACG
rnacentral:lncRNA from 1 species